CAAGCUUCACAAUCAAAUAAGUUCUCUACAUUUUCAAUAUUUUCCAAUGGAUUCUCUAUGCGUGCUCAAUUGUUUCUCCGUCACAAGAAUGCAUCUCCUAUAGAAACCCAUUCAGCAAGGGAAUUCACCGUAAUAGGACAAAAAAACGUUUCGGGUUGUGGAUUUUUUGAAGCCAAUAGUUACUCUAAUCGUGGUCAUUUCUUGAUAUUUCAACAUAAACUCUCCCAUUGUCUGUGAUGUGUCCACCCUAACCAGGUUAUAUAUAUGUAGUUUCUUAGAAUUUUGUUUUAUUUUAUUUAUUUAUUUAUUUAUUUUUGUAAAUUUCCUUAAAAUCUAUGUUUUAGAAUUGUGUAUGUAUUGAUGAUAUCGAUUCGGGCCAUGAAUUCUAGUAUUGCAUCUUUACUUGGGUAUUAUCAUGCUUACUUGAUUCUAUAUAUAUUCGGGCUUCUUUAUUUUUGCACAUAAGAUGUUUGACAAAAUGUCUAAAAGAAACAUUAUGAAGCUAACAUAACAAUAUUUGUUCUCUAGAGAAGAAGAGACGGGGGGAAAUGGAAAUGAAGUCAAUGACGUCUCAUGGGCAGGUUCAGCUGACUCUUCGACUAAACCAUCAAGUUAAAUUUGGUGAGCACGUUGGAGUCUUGGGGUCCCAAAAGAAUUCGACUCGUGUAAGAAGAAGAACAAGAUGGGUGGUCCAAUGGUGCCUUCUAUUAUGCUUCGUUUUUUUUGUAACGUGUUUGCGGAGGGACCAAAUGACUCCAAACUUGGACUAAAAACCACCAUUUGUGUAAUUGUUUCUAGAUUACUAGUGUUUCCUGUAUAAUGAAUUUUAGUUGUAACUUUUGUGGCAAUUUGAGUUCUAUAUUACAAGUGCUUCCUUUGUAGACAUGUAUAUAUAAAAUGAUGUUUUCAUAGGAUAAAAUUUCAUUUUUCACAUGCAAA
rnacentral:lncRNA from 1 species